UACGUAGGAUGCAAGCGUUGUCCGGAAUUAUUGGGCGUAAAGAGCGCGCAGGCGGUAUGACAAGUCAGAUGUGAAAGAGGCCGGCUUAACCGGCAAGGGUCAUUUGAAACUGUCAGACUAGAGUGCAGCAGAGGAUAGUGGAAUUCCCGGUGUAGUGGUGAAAUGCGUAGAUAUCGGGAGGAACGCCCGUGGCGAAAGCGAGGUCCUGGACGUUUUCUGACGCUGAGACGCGAAAGCCAGGGGAGCGAACGGG
rnacentral:rRNA from 1 species